rnacentral:rRNA from 1 species
GACGAACGCUGGCGGCGUGCUUAACACAUGCAAGUCGAACGGAAAGGCACUGCUUUUGUGGGGUGCUCGAGUGGCGAACGGGUGAGUAACACGUGAGUAACCUGACCUUGACUUUGGGAUAACUUCAGGAAACUGGGGCUAAUCCCGGAUAGGAGCCGCUGCUGCAUGGAGGGGGUUGGAACGUCUCGGCGGUUGGGGAUGGACUCGCGGCUUACGAGCUUGUUGGUGGGGGAGUGGCUUGCCCAGUAUGUGACGGGUAGCCGGCAGGGGAGGGUGGACGGCCACCUUGGGCCUGCGGUACGGCCCAGUCGCCAACGGGGGGCAACGGGGGGGAGUAUUGCCCAAUGGGCGGGAGCCUGAUGCAGCAGCGCCGCGUUUGUGAUGACGUCCUUCGGGUUGUAAACCGCUGUCGCCUGUGACGAAGCGUUAGUGACGGUACUGGGUAAAUAAGCACCGGCUAACUACGUG